UAGUCAGGAAGCUGGAUGAAAACUGACUUUUAAUCAGUGGGUCACAGGUUCGAAUCCUGU
rnacentral:tRNA from 1 species